rnacentral:rRNA from 1 species
CCUACGGGAGGCAGCAGUGGGGAAUAUUGGACAAUGGGCGAAAGCCUGAUCCAGCCAUGCCGCGUGUGUGAAGAAGGCCUUCGGGUUGUAAAGCACAUUCAGUGGGGAAGAAAGCCUUGGGGCUAAUACCCUCGAGGAAGGACAUCACCCACAGAAGAAGCACCGGCUAACUCCGUGCCAGCAGCCGCGGUAAUACGGAGGGUGCGAGCGUUAAUCGGAAUUACUGGGCGUAAAGCGCGCGUAGGCGGUCUGAUAAGCCGGUUGUGAAAGCCCCGGGCUCAACCUGGGAACGGCAUCCGGAACUGUCAGGCUAGAGUGCAGGAGAGGAAGGUAGAAUUCCCGGUGUAGCGGUGAAAUGCGUAGAGAUCGGGAGGAAUACCAGUGGCGAAGGCGGCCUUCUGGACUGACACUGACGCUGAGGUGCGAAAGCGUGGGUAGCAAACAGGAUUAGAUACCCCAGUAGUC